rnacentral:rRNA from 1 species
GACGAACGCUGGCGGCGUGCUUAACACAUGCAAGUCGAACGGAAAGGCCUGCUUUCCCUUGUGGAUUGCGGGUACUCGAGUGGCGAACGGGUGAGUAACACGUGAGUGAUCUGCCCCCAACUUGGGUAUAAGCCUGGGAAACUGGGUCUAAUUCCCGAUAGGACUGCAGGGUGGUGCCUGUGGUGGAAAACGAUUUUCUAGUGGUUGGGGAUGAGCUCGCGGCCUAUCAGCUUGUUGGUGGGGUAAUGGCCUACCAAGGGGGCGACGGGUAGCCGGCCUGAGAGGGUGGACGGCCACAUUGGGACUGAGAUACGGCCCAGACUCCUACGGGAGGCAGCAGUGGGGAAUAUUGCACAAUGGGCGGAAGCCUGAUGCAGCGACGCCGCGUGGGGGAUGACGGCCUUCGGGUUGUAAACUCCUUUCGACCGCGAGGAAGCCACCUGGUUGGAAGGGUGGUGACGGUAGUGGUAGAAGAAGCACCGGCUAACUACGUG